ACUCCUACGGGAGGCAGCAGUGGGGAAUUUUGGACAAUGGGGGCAACCCUGAUCCAGCAAUGCCGCGUGUGCGAAGAAGGCCUUCGGGUUGUAAAGCACUUUUGUCAGGGAAGAAAUCCUUUGGGCUAAUACCCUAGGGGGAUGACGGUACCUGAAGAAUAAGCACCGGCUAACUACGUGCCAGCAGCCGCGGUAAU
rnacentral:rRNA from 1 species